GUCGGGUCCUUGGAAACAGAAUAACAUGGGAAGAAAUGGAAAAUCUAUCAAUAUACAAUUUGUUUACAUUACUUUGUAAGCCCCUUGUAUUUUGAUAGGAAACCAGAAGAAAAAAUCUAUUUUUUUUUUUUUAAAUAGAUGAAGGUGUAGAUGUAGAUGGUUUGGGAUUUCCAACUUCCUUUAAACGAAUUUUCUAUUUUUUAGCUUCGUACUCUUUAACAAAAAUGCCUACAGGCCAAAAAUCGGCUGAGCAUAGGGGAUACCGAUCCUAAAUGAUGACACUUCCCUAGCAUAUGGAAAACUAAAAUAUUCAACAUUUAGAUCAUCCAUAUGAGUUUUGUUACGAAUAUAGGCAGAAAUGUCCAGAGAUGAAAGGUCAGGACUCAGCCGAUAAAAAAAAUUUGUUUUCGCUUUGGUUUUACGCUUAGGAAAAUCAGGCUCAGAUAGCAUACGUCUAGUGAGCUGCGACUCAAGCGCCACAAGCAGAUCCAUAUUUCUACGGCUGUUUAAGUAGACUUAUAGAAGUUACCUGGGUUUCAUACGCAACGCAUUCAUCACAAUAGUAGCGCAAGCCACUUCUCAUGGCGAUUACGUAUCGUACCGGGCCCAAAUGUAAAAUAUUGUCAUACGGAACGCUCUGUUGUCCAGCUGAAAUCAAAAACUUUCGUUUUUUUGAAUAACGGACGGCCAUUAUCUGGCGCCAGAGGAACCAUGCGCUACGACUGAGUUGGUGCCGGUGCGCAGCGCGACGGCCAAAUUGCUAACUGGAGGACCAAAGAAAUGGAAAUCAUGCUCGCGUUUCGGAAUCCAGUGGUUACACACCGUCGUUUAUUACCCAAGGCAGAGAGCAAAGAUUACCCAAUGGCCUGCAAGUUAGAGAGACCUUAGGGAAGGUUUAGCCCAGGAAGCAGGAUACAAACACCACAAUUCUUAUCUCCGCUGCGAAGCAAGUGCGAAAUCAUUGCCGCACUCUCUAUCAAGGAUGCCGUUAAUUAAAAAAUUAUAUAUUUA